rnacentral:lncRNA from 12 species
AUGCCACUUCAGGGCCGUGAGCAGGGAGGGAGGGACCCCGGGGGGACAGCCAGGGACCUGCCCUCACAGAGACAGAGGCUGGUGUGGACAGCGAGCCAAGUGGCUGCACCCGGAGGGGUCGGGGAGGGGCCUGGCGGAGUGAGGAGCCAUGCCCACGAACCGGAGGGCUUCCCGGAGGACAGACAGCUGCGCGGAGAUCCUGGAGGCCCGUCUCCCGGGCCACGCCGGUUCUCCCCACGGCGUCUCCCAGUAUGUGUGGAGGAGGCAGCAAGGAGACGUCUGUGUCGCCCGCCCGCACGGGUGGCGCCACCAGCCUGCCCACAAGCCAUCUGCCUCUUUCCUCUCCCGGGGAGCAGAGACGCAGGGAGGAGGAGACGCUGGCUGGAGCCAGAGCUGGGAGCACCUGCCAGAGCCCAUCCAGUCCCCGGCCCUGCUGGCCAGUGCUCCUGCCUAUCCCAGCUCUGGCAGGUUGGGUGUGAAGGCCUGAGCAGGUGGGUGUUCACCCCUCCUUCCUCUCUGUGUUCUCUGUCCCUCCUCCCCUCCCUCCAUCCUCCCCCUACCCUUCUCCCUCCUCCCAGCAUCCAGCCCACUAUAUGGACACUGACGGGACCAGGAUUCUCUCUUCACUCACCCCACCGGGGUCCCCCCACGCUGACUUUCCCCCACGCAACCUGGCCCCGUGACCACUACCGCCCUCUGCCCUGGAGCUCUGAGCGGGGUGUGUGUUCCGUGUCUCAAGUGGCAUGCUCUGAGCCAUAGCACCCACCCAGGCAAGUUGGGUGGGCCACCUGGAGGGGCAUCUGGUGUGUCCUGGAGUGCAGGCUGCACCACCCCUGGACUCGCCUGGUGUGGUUGUGGUGCAUCCCUCAGUGGCAGUGGCAGGAGGGGGACCCAGCAGCUGUGACGCCCUGCCAGGUACCCCUCCAAGGGUUGGAAGGAGUACCCCUGGGGGCGGCUCCUGCCUGGGGGACCCUCUUCCUCCUCGGAGCCUUCCUGGGUCUGGCUUGCCUUGUCUCUGCCCAAGUACGAGGUGGAGGCAUUGCUCAGGAGCAAGCCGAGAAACACAAAUCAGGUCAUUUCUGUGGUUUUACAUGUGAGUAAGACGCUCGGAUAUAACAAUCGGAGAAGAAAGAAGGAAGAAUGGUCAAAACUCAUGCUAGUAAUUUACAUUUAGGAUUUUUCUCAGAAUGACAUUAAAUAGCAAAACACAUUGUGUGGAAACCAAACAAAACUCUGGAUUUCAGCCCCACUAAUGGCCCAUUUUCCCACUUUGUUGGGCUGGAACCCUGCAUUUUCAUUUUGCUCUGGGCCCCUGCACAUAGGCCUGACCCAUGUCCCCACCCUGGGCUCACCCCUGUCUUCAUCCCUCCCCACUCUGCCUCUUUCCUCCUUAGGCUCCUGCUCCAUAACCUUUCAUGGUUCCUCCCACUGUCUGGCCUCACUGUGAGCCCUCGAGGAUACCUUCCAACAACACUGUGCUCCACUUCCCGCCGCCUCCCUGUUGACCCCUGGACCCCACAAUUUAUAAGGGAGAAGGGCCCCUUUGUCCUCCUCAUCUCCCAGACAGGGUGGGAUUUGGCAAAGCAGAGAAGGGAGCCCGGGACCUGCCUGGUGGUGCUGAUUCCUGGCUCGUGUCCCUUCUCUGCACACAUCAUGGAGGAGCCCCUGCGGUAUUGGGGCCUGGCAGUCUCUGCACAUCUCCACUGUGUGACCCAGGGAGCCUCCCCCAGGACACUUAGCCUGCUCCGUGAACGCCCUCCUCCCAGGACCACUCUGGGGCCUCCAGAUCUCGUGGGAGGCCGCACAUGGUGCCCCUGGCUGCCCCUUGGGGACCUCUACUACUGGCAAGAAAAGAGAAACUGGUAAUCGGUGCUCCCAAUGUGCAUGGCAAUGCCACUGGCUGGCCAGGACCUGCUCCCGGCGUUUGAAAGGUCCCCUGAGCUCAUCUGCUUGUUCAUUUGCACUGUCUAUGGAGAAAGCAAAUGUCAACUUGUGCUGCCCAGACCGCUGCUUGCACUCCCCUCAUUAGUGGUGUCUGAAAUCAUAGAGUUUCUCUGUGUUCUCGUUAUGUGCAAAUGACCUCCCAAAAGCACUUCCGAGGGGCAUGUAGACCCAAGACGGCCCCUUCUAGAGGGGCUUUGGUUCUUGGGACGAGGGUGCCUCUGCCUUGGGGAGGGACUUCCAAUGGAUCGAAACUGGAGGGAGGGACCCAGCGGGGGGUGCCUAGGAUCCCGAGUUUGGGAGACCCUUGUGGGCACACCUGCCUUGAAGGGCCGGGACCUAGGGGUUCCCACGCAGCUGUGAGGGGAGACAGAGGUGGCAGGUGCAGGCUGAUUCCCACCCCGGGGAAGCUCAUUGUGGAGGCACACGUAGCUCACCGUAGCCCCUGCUGCUCAGCUACGCUGGAUAUGCCCAGUCUGCGCAGGGCACUUCUCGCUCUCCACUUAAAAGGAUGCGUUUGGCAAACCUCAGGAUGUCGUUAAAAUUUCAUGGGCUCCCCCUAAGCGGAGGACCAUCGGCCGUAACCUCGAUCGAGUCAGAUCUGUGCCUGGUCCAGGUGUGUCUCCUGUUGGCGAGCACAUCUCUCCUCGAUGUCACAGAAAUGAGACACCAUCCCGGAGCUGGCAGGACAGGUUGGCCGGGCCCUGACUUGCUGGCGGGGACACUGUCAGAAUGAAUUCAUUUCCAAAUAAAGCAUUGUUAACACUGCUAUUAAAUGCCUGA